UAACAUAUCAAUAAGCGGAGGAAAAGAAACUAACAAGGAUUCCCCUAGUAACUGCGAGUGAAGCGGGAUGAGCUCAAAUUUAAAAUCUGGCAGUGUAACGGCUGUCCGAGUUGUAAUUUAGAGAAGUGUUUUCUGUGCUAGUCCGUGUACAAGUCUCCUGGAAUGGGGCGUCAUAGAGGGUGAGAAUCCCGUCUUUGACACGGUGCAACUGGUGCUCUGUGAUACACUCUCGAAGAGUCGAGUUGUUUGGGAAUGCAGCUCAAAAUGGGUGGUGAACUCCAUCUAAAGCUAAAUAUUGGCAAGAGACCGAUAGCGAACAAGUACCGUGAGGGAAAGAUGAAAAGCACUUUGGAAAGAGAGUGAAACAGUACGUGAAAUUGCUGAAAGGGAAACGCUUGAAGUCAGUCGCAUUUGCUAGAAUUCAGCUCUCUUGUAGAGUGUACUUUCUUAGUUGAAUGGGUCAGCAUCACUUCUUGGCCCCUGGAAAAGGGCUUGAGGAAUGUGGCACUUCCUUGUGAGGUGUGUUAUAGCCUCGGGUCGUAUACAGGUGGCUAGGAGUGAGGAAUGCCUUUGUAGGAUGCUGGCAUAAUGGCUUUAAGCGACCCGUCUUGAAACACGGACCAAGGAGUCUAACAUGCAUGCAAGUGUUUGGGUGGUUAAAACUCAUGCGCGUAAUGAAAGUGAACAAUUGGGAAGGCUGUCAUGGCCUGCACCAAUGCCCGGACUUGCGAUUUAUCUACGGUUCUGCGGUCGAGCAUGUAUGUUGGGACCCGAAAGAUGGUGAACUAUGCCUGAAUAGGGUGAAGCCAGAGGAAACUCUGGUGGAGGCUCGUAGCGAUUCUGACGUGCAAAUCGAUCGUCAAAUUUGGGUAUAGGGGCGAAAGACUAAUCGAACCAUCUAGUAGCUGGUUCCUGCCGAA
rnacentral:rRNA from 1 species